UACGAAGGGGGCUAGCGUUGCUCGGAUUGACUGGGCGUAAAGCGUGCGCAGGCGGUCUGUUAAGACCGAUGUGAAAUCCCCGGGCUUAACCUGGGAACUGCAUUGGUGACUGGCAGGCUUUGAGUGUGGCAGAGGGAGGUAGAAUUCCACGUGUAGCAGUGAAAUGCGUAGAGAUGUGGAGGAAUACCGAUGGCGAAGGCAGCCUCCUGGGCCAACACUGACGCUCAUGCACGAAAGCGUGGGGAGCAAACAGG
rnacentral:rRNA from 1 species